UGGGGAAUAUUGCACAAUGGGGGAAACCCUGAUGCAGCGACGCCGCGUGAGUGAAGAAGUAUUUCGGUAUGUAAAGCUCUAUCAGCAGGAACGAGACAAGACGGUACCUGACUAAGAAGCCCCGGCUAACUACGUGCCAGCAGCCGCGGUAAUACGUAGGGGGCAAGCGUUAUCCGGAAUCACUGGGUGUAAAGGGAGCGUAGACGGCUGAGCAAGCCUGAAGUGAAAGGCGGGGGCCCAACCCCCGGACUGCUUUGGGAACUGUACGGCUGGAGUGCAGGAGAGGUAAGUGGAAUUCCUAGUGUAGCGGUGAAAUGCGUAGAUAUUAGGAGGAACACCAGUGGCGAAGGCGGCUUACUGGACUGUAACUGACGUUGAGGCUCGAAAGCGUGGGGAGCAA
rnacentral:rRNA from 1 species